UCAGACCCCACUGUAUAUUAUGCUUGUUCUGUCUGUUUAAAAUGUCCUCAUUGUGUUUUCCUCCUCAGGCGUGAUAAAUGAGUGUAAGUCUAACCCCUGUCGUAAUGGUGGAUCCUGUAUCGAUUGACUGGUUCUGAAACAGCCCCAGAAAGAGCGGGUGCCGUGGCUGGUGAUAGCCAUUCCCCUGGUGUGGCUUGGUGCUCUGCUAGCAGUCAUCGCCUCACCUUGAUGGUGUUCACAGCCCGCAAGAAGCGCCAGUCGGGGGGAUCCUACAGCCCCAGCGCUCAGGAGAUGGCCGGGGCGCACCUGGAAAUGGACAGCAUGCUUAACGUCCCCACUGAGGGGCAACUCAUCUGAUCAGUCUAGAUCUGAUCCAAGAACUGUGCUCGGGACAUGUGGCUAGGCUGCGUCACGCAAAAAUCAGCAAAAGCUCAUCUGAGAGUACAGCACUGCUGGCAGGUGCGCAAGACUCACUGAGACAAUAGACUCUAUAGUCGGUCAAGCUCGCUGGAGGGAGACACAGGGGAGACGACAUGAGCUGCUGCCCCCUGCUGGAUGGAUAUGUUACUGGCCCAGUGGUGCCGUAUUUUUGUGUUUUGUUUGCCCUAAUCUUAUGUGUGAGUAGUUUGGAGGAUCUUGGGGAGGAAGUAGAGGUUGGAGUAGUGGGGGUGGGCAGUGCCGGGCGAUUGGUAAAGAAUUGAGUUGCAUGUCUUAAGGAGCAUCCCGGUUGGUGGUGGGGGCGUUCCAAAGUCAUUGAAAGACUGGACGGGAAGUCAAAGGUCCAAGGACAACCUUGGGUCUCCGAUAGACAGAGGAGGCUCCAGUGUAACACCGGCAUAUGCCAUUCGAUCGAGCGUUUAAGAUGGACUGGAUGGACUUUUCUUUUUUAAGAAAUACAUGAACAGUGGGCACCGACUACCCCCACCCUUACACUUUUUGGUUCAUGUUUUGAAAAACAUUUUUACUCUAGGUAGGGCAACAAUCUUAAAGGUGAGGUUCAGUAUAUUCCAGUCUAUGGUUCAAGAGAAACUGUAAUCCAUGGUUUGGUUUUCUUUAAACAGCCACUACAAACUUCAGCUAACUUUAGUCUCUGCUAGUAAACAAUAUACCCCCCGAUGCACUGCCUGGUAAGGACAUGUUUCCUCCCCCCAAAACUCUGCUCCUAAGACUCAUUUAUCCUCAAUAUGUGAAAUUGUGGUAUCGCUAUGCACUCACGGUUACACAGUUCUACAACCAGUGCAAAAAUGGCAGAGUAUGCAUUUUGGAGAAUAAACGAAGCCUUACGAGAAAUCGUUCUGUCACACUCUACAAUCCCAAUCAACAUAUUUUGGUUGUUUGAUUAUAAUUUUGUAUUUGAUUAUAGCUUGACUUUUUAAGUACCUCACAGAGAGAGAGCUCUUCCACCCAAUUUUGGUUAGACUUCUUAACGCGGCAUGCUCACUUUUGUUUCCAAACAAAAGACAACCGUGUAUCUGAGCAGCUAGAUAACUUACAUUUUUUUAUGGCACUCAAACUGGUGCUAUAGAUAUCUGUGAUAAAGCCUGCGAUGGUACAGUAAAUUCAUCUGUCCUUAUUUGGAGUUUGGCUUAAAAUUGUUCCUUUCACCAAAAUAUAGGGUACUGUAUGUGACUGGAAAUGACAAAAGUAAGCCAAACUCCACUAUGCCUUUAUCUUCUUGUCCCAUCCUCAAACAUUGUCAUACUCGGACUCUGACUGUCUCGUAUGAAACAUGUUUCAUUCACUGUUUCUUAAUGCAAACCUCAAAUCUCAGCAAGACCAAUUGAAGAAUAACAGGCAUGAGUUCCUUCAAAUCUCUUAGAGAAAAGCAAUGUGAUACAGAUAUGAACUGUAAACAGAAAAUACUACUGCACAUAUUUCUUUGUUCUUUUAUUAACUACUGAGCGAAAGCUAAACAUUUGUAUUUCAUUGUUCACACGUGAAUGUGAAUUGAUAUGACUCGUUAUUUGCUGGGUUGUUCGAUAUCUGCAUUAGUUUACACUGUUUUGGCAUUCGAGCCUCAAUGACGCUGGCCGUUUCAAAUAUUGAUACUGUUCAUAGGUUUCGCAUUAAAAGCAUUCAAAAUAUCCAAGACAGUAGAGGAUUCUACACAAACAUAACCUUGUUUUUAUUAAACUGUAAAAAUGU